rnacentral:rRNA from 1 species
AUGAGCCCAGCUUCGAAUAAACUAAGCCAUCAACUGGCCAAAAAGCCAAUCAUAUACAGGCCAUUUCAUCCAUAUCUUUACGGUGAGGACAAGCUAACUUACAAAAGUAUAUGUUCUUUAGCAAAGCUGCAAUAUAACAUAAAAACUUUCUGCCAUAGUGUCAGUCCCAAUCGAAUCAUAUUUAACAAUAAUAGGUUAAAUUCUGCCAUAGUGUACUGGCAUAAUAUAAGAACUCAAGUAUUGAGCGAGCUAGGAACAUGGUUGGUACACUAUACUGAUAAGACACCCAAAACAACCAGCGCCUCCUCCAGAUCUGAUACACAGGCAGCUGCUUCGUCUCGUAUACAGCGAGAUGAAGAAGACAGAUCUGCUCUACAGGCAGCUGUUUAG